CCAUAUCAAUAAUACGCCAUAAGCAUGUUAGCGUAAGAACAAACUACGGAUGACCAACGUGAUCUAUAAAUUUUACUGUAAAAUUGAAGGUUGCAAACUUCAGAACAUUAGUUGGUAUAUUGAACAGACAAGUACAAAAGCUUCAUGUAUGCUCAUGAAACCCUUGCAAAACUAUACUAUAUGAAUUGUGUUCAAGAAUUAUCCAACUUAAUUCUUUCCUGCCAAAAUUAAUGCUGCGUGGAGAAAAUACUUUGGAUAGGAGGUGACAGCACCCUUCUUGUGCAAGCGUGAAAAUUUUCGUGCCGGUAGGCGACGUCUGAUUCCCACUGUUGCAUCUAGAGUGUAGAUGUGUAGUGCGUCCUCGUUGGAUUUUCGUUUCACCCAACAGCUGGGUGAUAUACAAACUCAAACCUUCCAAAAGAUUCAGCAGGAUUUUGGCAGUGACGCCAUGGGCGAAACUCAGAUCACUAAGUGGUACAACCUUUUUUCCACUGUUAAGAAAGUGAGAAAAUAAAAAUAAGAAAAGACCACCAAUCGUGCAGAAUGAAGAUUAUCCUUGGCUUCAGCUUCUGUGUUCUUUCAUACGCGAUGCCACUCAACAAUGAUGUCGCAACUGUCAAUAAAUCGCAGCAUGUCAUAAAUAGAAGUUUGGUAGAAAGAGGGAGACAUAAGAGAAACGACAUACUCUGUGCACAAUGGCAAUGGAAAUGUGCUGAAGUGCCGAGGACACCAGAUGAAACUUGCUGUGAUGGCUUCUUCUGUAAAUGUAACCCCUUCUGGAGAGCAAACUGUCGGUGCCACUCAUUAAGUCUUUCACAAACGGCACUUGAGGGCUGCCGAAAAAGAAAAUGAAAGAAUCGAUGUCUUCUUUUUUUUCUCAUCCAUUUCGUUUAUCAUUUUUUCUUUUCCUUCUUCCUACUUUGAUGAAGAAACAGUGUUCAAAACAUCGAUUGUUCUGUUGGCACGUUGACUUUUUUAAUUUGUUCCUUGUUUUUCUCGUAUAAAUUUGCUAUGGCGCGUUUUUGAUACUGUCUUGCCUUGAUAAAAUAUAAUUAUCUAUAUACUAAUUAGAAAACUAUAGCAGAUUCAAACAAGAAAUCCGCUGGAUAUUUAUUUUAUGUACUACAAUAUAUAUUGUUCUUAUUAAACCUCUAGAUUCUACUUGAUCUACAAAUAAAUAAUUACAGUAAUCUAUAA